AAGUUCCAUGUCCUCCAUGGGCCAUGAUUGACAUCCAGAUAAAUUGUGCCCACAACAUAAGAUGAAGGUUGAUGACAUCUUUUUGAGCCACCAGUGACCACUUUUGUUGUUGCUGCCUUUCCUGAGGAAAUGUGAGUUAAAAAGACACAUUCCUUUUCCUUCAUGGGCCAUGAGUGACAUCCAGAGAAAGCAUCGCCACAACAUUGGACGAAGGUUGAUGACAUCUGAAUGAGCUACCAGUGACCCUUUUGGUUGUUACUGCCUUGCCUGAGGAAAAGCGAGUCAAAAAAUGAUACCUACAGUGAUGAGUUGGAGUCAUUAUAGAUGGUGCCAUUUCUUCUACCUGCAGCUUCACCAAAACAAUCUUCAUUCUACAUGCUGAUGCCUCUAUCCUGUGUAACAGCAGACACCACCUGCAGAUAAGAAAUGCUUAAGGGGAGGAUUCUUUUGAUGACUAUUACUAUUUCACCAUCUGGCCUUAACAGAUAUUUGGAGAGAAAUCCUGCAUGAGCCUGGUUCACCACUUUUGGCAAACCCUGCAAGCACCUUGAUCUACAUUCUACCCAUGUGCAAGUCUGAGAUGCCCACUCAUUGCUCCAGACACUGUCUUUUCUGGUGUUUUGAGUCAUCUGAUAUGCCUCCUUGAAAUGCAGAAAAGCACAGAUCUCAGUGUUUUGCAGUCAUAUGAAUUGGCAAUUUGGAAGGAAGAGAAGCACAGAUCUCAGGGAAGAUAUUCUUCCAAGUUUCAAAAAGGGUGCCCUUGCAUCCCUCGAAGAGCUUUCUACACUGCAGCCCUCUCCAGGUACAUGUGACAAUUUGAAACUCUGAGGCAGUUUUGGAGGGCCAGUCAUCUGACAUACCACCUUGGAGGAAGAGUACCACAGAUCUCAGUUAGGGAAGACAUUCCUCCAAGUUUCAAGCAAGUGGGCCCUUGCAUCACUUGAAGAGUUUUCUACCCAGCAGUCCUCUCCAGUUACUUGGGACUAUUUGACUUUGAGGGACUUUUGGAAGGCCAGGUAAGCAGUGGGCAUAAGUUAGGUGAUAUCAAAUUAUAGGUAGCCAUUUUCUGUAUAGGCCUGGGUCAAUGAUGACAACACAAUGUCAUGAAGAGUGGUGAUGACAUAAAAAUCAUGCUCAAUAGGAUUACGCUGAGGCCCAACCAGGGCGACAGGGUUACAAGCAGUCCUUUGACUCCAUGAGGACCUCUUGGGCAACUUCUGCGAGGUCCUCAGAUACCCUUGCCCUGUUUCCCAUGAGAGGAAAGAUGGACAGUUAUGGUGCACUUUGGUUGCCAAACAGUGCAUGACAACAAGCACCUAGUCCCACAUUCUACUCUUGGGCAUUUCUGCAUGC